GUUUGUGUAGCGGAGGAACGGGUGUUUAAUUCCUUAAUUUCUUGCGCCGUCACUUAUCCCCCCUGAAAGAAUAAAGCGUGUUGGUGAUGUGCUUCUGAGACGGAGUUCAAGGCAGACUAGUCAGUGGCCUAUCAUGUCAUUGUGACGGGUUGUGGAAAUGAUCAGUGUGUCAAGCAGUGAGGAUAAUUAGGAUCAACGGGGGCGAGCUGGAAGACAACAAUAGACCCAAACACUUGUUUGGGUCUGUUGUUGU